UGACUAGGUGCUCCUUCCCUGAGCAUAGUAACAUUCCAGGGAGCUGCCCGGGGAAGCUUAACGCUCGAUGCGGGUGGUAGGAAUGUAUCAUGGUGGGAGAGUCAUGGCAGCAGGCAGCUGGAACAGGACACUAAGUAAGAACACCUUCAACUACAAGCAGAAGUCAAGGAGAACUGAAAGUGGGUCCCUGAAGUCAGCUCUGGAAAACUGAGAAGAGUGCUGCGUGCAGAAUGCUUCGCUGGAUGUUUUUUUCCUCUAUUCUCACAGACAACUGGAACCUUGAGAGCCAAGGGAGAUUGUGGAGAGGAUGUGAGCAGAUGGCCGCUGAGGAUAGCUGACCGGGUGGGUGGGCUGGAACCUAGGCCAGGACCUGCCACCUGAGGAUUGUGCCUGCGAUGUCCAUAUGAUUGUGAACAGCUAAACAGGGAGCUCUGCUCUGUUGAAAAUCAUAAAGUUGAAAAUGAAAAGAGAUAAAACCUUAAGCACAGAAGAAUAUUUUGUCUUUGGUGAAAAGAACAACUUAAGAUUAAUUUUAUUUUUAUGCUGUAUAUGCGUGUGGGUAUGUGCAUGCAAAUUUGGGUGACUCCAAAGGUCAGAGCAUCAAAUCACUUGGAGCUGGGAUUAUAGGCAAAUGAAAGCUGCCAAGCAUAGGAAUCUAACGAAUGUCCUCUGUAUGAGCAGAGAGUACUCCUUACUGCAGAGCCAUGUUUCCAGCUUAAGGAGGGCUUUUAGAAAGAAGAUUGAUAGAGAAUACAUACUUAAUAGUUUGAUGUACUAAAAAGGUUAA
ensembl:processed_transcript Eldr Egfr long non-coding downstream RNA